rnacentral:rRNA from 1 species
UAGGGAAUAUUGGACAAUGGGCGAAAGCCUGACCCAGCAACGCCGCGUGAAGGAUGAAGUAUUUCGGUAUGUAAACUUCGUAAGAAUAGGAAGAAUAAAUGACGGUACUAUUUGUAAGGUCCGACUAACUACGUGCCAGCAGCCGCGGUAAUACGUAGGGACCAAGCGUUGUUCGGAUUUACUGGGCGUAAAGGGCGCGUAGGCGGUGUGUCAAGUCAGUUGUGAAAUCUCCGAGCUUAACUCGGAACGGUCAACUGAUACUGUCACACUAGAGUACAGAAGGGGCAAUCGGAAUUCUUGGUGUAGCGGUGAAAUGCGUAGAUAUCAAGAGGAACACCUGAGGUGAAGACGGGUUGCUGGGCUGACACUGACGCUGAGGCGCGAAAGCCAGGGGAGCAAACGGGAUUAGAUACCCCUGUAGUCCCUGAGCGGGCUGGCAAGGCGCAU